UACGAAGGGUGCAAGCGUUACUCGGAAUUACUGGGCGUAAAGCGUGCGUAGGUGGUUCGUUAAGUCUGAUGUGAAAUCCCCGGGCUCAACCUGGGAAUUGCGUUGGAGACUGCAAGGCUGGAGUCUGGCAGAGGGGGGUAGAAUUCCACGUGUAGCAGUGAAAUGCGUAGAGAUGUGGAGGAACACCGAUGGCGAAGGCAGCCCCCUGGGUCAAGACUGACGCUCAUGCACGAAAGCGUGGGGAGCAAACAGG
rnacentral:rRNA from 1 species